rnacentral:lncRNA from 12 species
CAGUAAUCAGGGCCAUCUUCAACUAGAUCAGGUUGCUCAGAGCCACAUCCAGCCUGAUCUUGAAUGUUUCCAGGGAUGAAGCUGGUACCACCUUUCUGGGUAACCUGUUCCAGUGUUUAGUCUGAAUGUCCCCCAUUUCAGUUUAAAAUCAUUAUCCAUUGUCCAUGUAACAGGCCAGUUGUCUGCAGAAGAAGCUCACCAAGAGUAGGCAAGACCUCUGGACCAAGGACCAUAGUUCCCAUCCCACAAGCCAUCCUGGAUUACUGA